rnacentral:rRNA from 1 species
AAUGAACGCUGGCGGCGCGCCUAAUACAUGCAAGUCGAGCGAGAAGACGUAGCAAUACGUUUGUAAAGCGGCGAACGGGUGAGGAAUACAUGGGUAACCUACCCUAGAGUGGGAAUAACUAGCCGAAAGGUUAGCUAAUACCGCGUACGCUCCUUGGACUUCGGUUCAGGGAGGAAAGCGAUGCCGAGGGUAUCGCGCUCUUGGAUGGGCUCAUGUCCUAUCAGC